UGGGCGAAGGGGUAUUGCCUCAGUAGCGGCGAGUGAAGCGGCAAGAGCUCAGAUUUGAAAUCGUGCUUUGCGGCACGAGUUGUAGAUUGCAGGUUGGAGUCUGUGUGGAAGGCGGUGUCCAAGUCCCUUGGAACAGGGCGCCCAGGAGGGUGAGAGCCCCGUGGGAUGCCGGCGGAAGCAGUGAGGCCCUUCUGACGAGUCGAGUUGUUUGGGAAU
rnacentral:rRNA from 1 species